rnacentral:lncRNA from 1 species
AUCAUAGUGAGAGACUUCAUUAUUUGCUCACCAGAAAAUCUCUCAUUCGGAUGAUUUAUUAAUGGAAUGUAUUUUGCGUUGAUUUCAGGAGAUUUGGAGGACCCGACUGGAAAAAUCCGCGAUCACUUAGUUGCCAAUUCUACAUCACAAUAUGCUUCAGAGCAACGAAAGCAGUGUUGGGGGUGCUGCGCUGGUUGUCCACUUCUCAGAUCCAGCCCGAGUCAACGACGGCACAACAACACAUCUCUCAAGGUUCAAGCCUCCAAAGAAAACAUAGUCGAAGAUGAAGGAAAUAAAAUAGAUUCACAGUCAAUAGUUAUUGAUAAUUUCAACACAUUAACGGUAAGUUGAACUAUUACCGUACUACCGUUUACAGUACUAAUAUACUAUUUAAGUUACCCCGUUUCUUCAGCAUCCUAAUUCUGUAAUUCGGGCGAUCCGAUUGGUGAGCUCCUUAUUAUCCAAACGUUAAACCUCAA